UCUGGUUGAUCCUGCCAGUAGUCAUAUGCUUAUCUCAAAGAUUAAGCCAUGCAUGUCUAAGUACACGAUUUUAUAUAUCGAAACCGCGGAUGGCUCAUUAUAACAGCUAUGAUUUGAGAGAUAUUAUCAUUUGCCACAAGAUAACUGUGGUAAUUCUAGAGCUAAUAUUUUAUAGAAUGCCGUGACUCACGAAGCGGCGGAUUUAUUAGAUCAAAACUAACCUGUCCUAGACAGUUAUUUGAUGACUCUGGAUAACUUUACUGAUCGUACGACCUCUGUGUUGACGACGAAUCUCUUGAAAUGGCUGACCUAUCAACUUUCGAUGGUAAGAUCAAAGCUUACCAUGGUUGUAACGGGUAACGGGGAAUCAGUGUUCGAUUCCGGAGAGGGAGCCUGAGAAACGGCUACCACAUCCACGGAAGGCAGCAGGCGCGAAAAUUACCCAAUGCCGGUUCGGCGAGGUAGUGACAAUAAAUAACAAUAUGGACCCUAGUGGUUUCAUAAUUGCAAUGAGAUUAUUUUAAAUACUUUUUCAAGUAUCAAUUGGAGGGCAAGUCUGGUGCCAGCAGCCGCGGUAAUUCCAGCUCCAAAAGCGUAUAUUAAAGUUGUUUCAGUUAAAAACUGAGACAGAUAUAAUUUAAAAUCUUAUGAUUGAUUAUUAUUAUACUUUUUCUUUGUGUAUAUUAGUGAGGGACUUAAUUGUUUUUUCUGAUAACUGAAAUGUUUACAUAGAAAAUAUUAGAGUGCUUAAAGCAGGCUUACGCUUGUAUAUUGUUACAUGGAACAAUAAAAUAGGACUUUGGUUUUAUUUUGUUGGUUUUCUUAACUAAAGUAAUGAUUAAGAGUAAAACCAUUUUAACAAAAUCUCUACAGAUCCAUACCUCUCACUGAAAAAAUCAAUGUCUUCACUGUCUCUUUUUUCAUUCUCUUUUUUGAAACUCUCAAAGCGAAAACAAAUUUCGCAGACUUAUCUAAAAAAGAAAAAGAUUUCAUUGAAAUCAUCAAACAAGCCAUAAACUCGGAAACUGUCUUAAUAAGGGGGAAAUCAUUCAAAAACAUUCAGGGUUUAACCAUGGGUAACAACCUUUCACCGAUUUUAGUAAUUAUCUAUAAGAAUCAUGUAGAAUCCACGAUUCGGUCUUUUUUGGGGUUAAAAUCCAAUUCUGAAAAAGAUACAUUGACGACAUUUUCAUACUCUCCACGAUAUCUCUCAAUCUUAUCUUAUCUCAUGCAAACUAUGGAUUCGGCUAAUUAUUUAUUUCAUCACUUCAAGGAUUCCGAGAUAUAGUAGUCAGAUAAUGGAUAUUUAACGCCUGCUUGUUGAUUUAUUUGAUUGUUUACGAUACGAUGCUGCACAUCCGUCAAUCGACCAAGUAAAUGAGACUUAAUUGCAUACUAUAAUUGAGUUCCACUAUUGCAUUUAUAUCUCUUGCGAUGCGAAUUAUUUCUUUGAUUAUUAUUAUCGUCGGUUUUGGUUUCACGCUGAGGAUUCUCGGAUUUAGUUGUAUAGUCGUUGAAAUAACCGGAUAGAUUUUCGUUAGUAAUACUCGCUUCUUAUUUUCU
rnacentral:rRNA from 1 species